AUGAGUGAAGGGGUCCUUGGCCUUGGGCUCAGCAGCCAGUACCUGCUCACAUUCCUCCAGGGCCAGCUUUCCUCUUCUCCCCUUUCUGCUCAGCCUAGGGCUUCUGCCCCCUGCCGUGAACCCUUCCCUUUCCUAAACAGGGGUGUCCUGUUUAGCUGGCUCUCUGAAAACUUUUUAGCAUUAAACUGGGCCUUGUUCUCACAGGUUUACUUCCCCCCAGACACCCUGGAAUUGGGGCUGGUUAAUGCAGGUGAGGAACCAGCGGUUGGCCUGGCGGAAGGAAGGCUCCAGGACCUGCUUAAGGGGCCACAGCAGCACACAGAUAACUGUGACAUCAGCCAGUGGCACUUGUUCACGCACCAGAAAACUCCUCAUCUUCAAUGAGAAAAUCUCUCUUCCUGAAACCUUCUGAAACCCGCACCCAUGUCUGAAAGGCCUGAAUGUGGUCAUCUGCACAUUCCUGAACGGAUUCCUUGGAUCGAGGAGAUGCCAUGACCUGGAAAAGGCGUGGGAAAACUAAAUGUCCCCCUGUUAUAGGUAGGCAAAGGGUUAAGUGGCUUGGGUUAACAACAAGAGCAUUGGCCCCGCCCUCAACCCCUACAUUGGGAUAAAAUUUCCCCCGAACUUCCCAGAAACUGCACAGUAGAUGUGGGAUGAAUAACGUUGGGAAGACAGUCAAAAUGUCUCGUCACUCCCUCCUCCUCCUCCUGGGUCCUGCCUUUAUGGGGCCUACCAGGCAACUGACUAGGGCUAAGCAGAUGGCCUUGGUGUGCUACGUUAUAGGGCGUGGGUAGAACUGUGAGCUGCCGUUCUCUGGUGACAUGGAAAUUCCCUGGUCUUAACUCGAACUGGAACCAUGGAUGGGCUCUUGACUCUGUAGCAGUGGGCAAGUUAUCUUCAGAAGAAAGUCCUUCUGAUGCUCCUCAUUCUACAGAUGUUUCUGGAUGGUUAAAACAAACUCAGCAGUCUUGUAGGAAGCACGCUACACUAGGGUUCACACGAAUACACAAAGUGAGACCUGUAAAGGACCGUGCCAGAGCCUGGCAUAUCGUAGGUGCUGGCAUAUAGGACGUGCUGAGUAGGUCUGCCACGCCCAGCAUCACCAUGUCCAUACUGGUCUGUUUCAGCACAUGGGCUUGGGCAGGUCACUUAAGUUCUUGGAGCUUCAGUUUUCAUAUUAAAGGGUUUGAUUGCUCUUACCUUUAAAAUGGAAACAGUACUGUCUUGUAGCACCUUGGCUGGGUUAUUGCAGGGUUCGGGUGAAUAAAGGUGGUAGAUGUGUUUGUGAACAGUAAUGCAGUCCUCAAAAGAGAGUAGCAGCAGGUUGCUUUGUCAAUACUUUGUUUUGAGGAAUGAAUGAAUAUUCUCAAUAAAUGUUUCUGGUAUUUACUCUGUGUUGGAGGUGCAAUGUUGAAUAAGAUCCAUUCUUGGCCAGCAAGCAGCUCAUCGUCUAGCUAAGGGCACUGAGAAGUGACCAAGAAGUCAUCCCGUGGUUCUCUGGGAGCCCAGAGGAGGAACACACACAGUAGGAGCAGGAUCAAGACAGGUGUUUCUAGGCUGUGACACUUGAGUCUGAGGAUGAACGGGGGUUAGCGAGGAGCUGGCUGGAGGCAGUGGGAGCGUCAGGGAGGUGGUCAGUGCAGUCCAGCUGGGCCACUCCGGUUUGGCUGGAGCACAGCAGUGGGGCAUGGAGAGGGCAGGGAGAGCUGGGCAGCGGCAGAUCACACAGGGCAUUGUAUGCCAUGCUACGAAUCUGGAAUUCACCUAGAGGGGAAGCCCUUUGUGGGUCACUAACACCCACAAUCACUUUAGCUGCUUUGUGGAAAACAGAUUGGAGAGGAAGACACUAGAGUGAACAGCCCAAGCAGGAAGUGGUCGCAGGAGUUCAGGAAGCAUUGAGGGGGAAGAACGGACGUAUCUGGAUGGUAGCUAAGAAGUCAAAUCAACAGGAUUUGGUGACAGAUUGGGUGGACGGGUGACAGACAAAGAUCUGAGGGUCUUACCAAGUCUCUGACUUGGGUGAAUUGUUGAGGCAAUUCAGAAAGAUGGAGAAAGUAGGAGAAGAGCCGACUAAAGGGAGCUGUACACUUUGCAGGUGUCUGAUGGUUCUGGAUGCCACUCAGGAAAACCUCCCCAGGAUGGCUGUCGUGAACAUCUGGAUCUGGGGCUGCAGCGUCACUGUUGGGCAGAAUAAUCUCUGUGCUCUUCUCCACGUCCUCAGUGAGGAUGGCCUGGCAAGCAGAACACGGCAGUGGCUCACGUGUGUGCCGAGUGAAUGCACCUCUACACGCUGGUAACUGGUAUUCUGUCAACCAAGACGGGCGGCGGGAGGACUUGUCUAUGUUUCUGUGAUACUGGCUUGGUCUGGCUCAGAGUGGUUUGAAUGUCCCUUUGGGCUUGCAGAUGUAGCUGCAUGCAAAUGCGUUCCUUUUUCCUGUCCACAUAUUAAUACAAAUAUUGUGCAUAGAGCUGUGAGUGCUUUCUGGAAGGUUUGAGGGCUUCGAACAGGUCUGGCUGGGAAGAAAUUGCUCUCUGCAGGGAAGGAAGCUGUAUCUCUGUGUUGCACACCCUCGGUCCUCAGCUGAGGAUUCAGGGCUGCUGGUGGUUAAGGGAAUGGUACUCUCGGCAUUUUUUCAGAGGUGAUGGCAUCUUCUGAGACGGCUCAGCUGCUGUUUUAGGACUGGGAGUAAAUAUGUCUGACUCUCUCCCGAGCUGAGCCUGGAAGAAGACCAAAUUCCAUCCACCCAAGUGGAGCUGUGCUCAGUCACAGGAAGCGUGGUUUUCCCCCACAUUCUAGGCCACUCACUGCUUCUCACUUUGGACAAACAUCACUCACAUCACCUGACUCCCAGGUGCAGAAGUGAAAGUAAAUGAAGAAGGUGUGGUACAGGUGCCAGGCUAAGCAUGCAUUUCUGUUUGCCCUUUAAUUUCCAAAGCAGUCCUGUGAAGGAGAGUGUCUCAUUCAACUUAGAGAUGAGAAACAAAGCCAAGAGAAGCUCACUUUACCCAAGACCUCAGAGCGGCACUUUUAAAUAUCAUUUUGAAUAUACUAUCUCAUCUAAAAGUAAACUCACUCUAAACAUAAAAUGAAAGGACAGCCCUGGGGUGAAGUCAUGGCUUCGUCCUACAGCCCUUCACCUUUCUCAUGAUGCAACUUUCUCAAUAGGAUACAAAGAAGAGAGAAGAUCCACGGGGCACUCGGGAGGCAAUCCUGGUUCCUUGCGUAGAAUGCUUACAACACCCAGAUUGCUGGGAAAUCAGCGAGGUUCUGCUGAACUAGUGGAAACCAUGGAAACUGAGGACAGAGUCAGGGUCCAAGACGGCCUCAAGGAACUCUAGCAGGAUGCUAUGGAGUGAGUGUCACAUGCUAGAUUCUCGAAAGGAGUGCACGUUAGAGCUGCCUGAGCACUGUUACAGGUGCCAUACACAGAGAAUCUCAUUUAAGGA
rnacentral:lncRNA from 1 species